UCGAAGCUCCUUCAUAUGUGGGCAAGAAAUGUGUCCUUCUUUUCCAUGACAACGGGUGGAUCCUUUGCCAGCCAACAUAUCCCGAGGUCCGUUGCGUGCCGGCAAAGAUUCAAGAACAUGGCAGUGUCAGCAGAGGAGUGAACGGCGGCUGAGGAGACACUUUUAAAUGAUUUUCUGGUACAGAGCAGAAUUCAUGGUUCUGUCAUUUGUGGCAAGUUGCCCAGGCCCUAAAGCAGGAAAGUAUCCUGACUCAUCACAUCACCACCACCAAAUAAUGAACACUGACCUUGUCUGAGGUGAGCAAGGCCUGCAGUUCCAUACAACCUGGGUUCUUUUGUGACUUCCUGGAUGAGUCGUCAUUGUGCUCUUGCAGGACAUUUGGUAGGCUGGCCAUUUCUAGGAAGACUCACCACUGUUCCAAGUUGUCUCCUCAGCUGAACCAAUAAACAAAUUAAAAG